rnacentral:rRNA from 1 species
CUCGGUCUUUUGAGCGCCUUGGAACCACCUCUUCCCAUUCCGAACAGAGAAGUGAAACAGGGCAGCGCUGAUGAUAUUGUGGGGGCAACUCCAUGAGAAAGCAGGUCAAGGCCGGGA